CGCCUCCCGCGGACCAAGGGUUGCAGAAGCCUGGCAAAUACUAAACAAACGACCUUUGGGACUGACUUUGUGAGCCGAGAAGCGACAAGCUAGUCACAGCUUGCUAGGCGUCCACUUGUGGCGGGUGAACGAAUCCCUGCACCUCGGGCCGUAGGAGACUCGAGUUUCGGCUACUCCUGCCUGCAGCCCUCGGUGGGACACAGUCGGUGUCCGGCAGGCUACGCCCCACGCCUCCUCAUUGGCUCCUCCAGACACGUGGUAGGGUGGUCCCGCCUCCGGGUGGCCUGAGAGGCGGCACGCAAAGCCGCAUGGACAGCUUGGCGCCAGGCCGAUGGAGACGACGGAGAAUCGAGGAGCUGCCGGUUGCAGGGGACGCGAAACGGGCAUGCAGGAGGUCAGAAGCUGAGUACAGCAGCCACAUGGUAAGCACCUGUGCCCUGCUGUCCUGGAGCACAGAGGACCAGGAGCCACGGCCUCGAGGCCCGCCUGUGCCGCGACCGGAAUGUAACCAGGAGAGGCCGAGCUCAGUGAUUCUGCAGAACAGCGGAAGGAGUUCAGCCCAGCCUUGCCCGAGAUGUAUUGCAGGGGAAUCUGGCCAUUUCAACCAUACCGGGAGUCAUUAGAAGAUGCGAUGGAAAGAAGGAAGAAUCCAGUUGGGUUUGAAUCCUCGUAUGAUGGCCAGCGCCAAUCCCUUACAGCAUUCCUAGGUGCCCAACCGUUCAAAUGACAGCCAGGGCUCCGUGCAGGGGUUAUUAGCCUCUCAGGGCUUACAUGGAAGAGCCCAGUCCAGGCUAACCCUGGUGUGUGGUCAUGGUGAAACCCACACAGCAGAACUGGAACAGGGGAAACCAAGCUGCUGCAACCAGUGUGGUGCUGUUUGUGAGAGAGAUGGUCCAACAUGGCAGGCAUGGCCUUUGCCAACCCUGGGAAGAUGCCAGCACUGCUUAUAGAUGGUUUAGAGACUAUAGCCCACGCCCGAACAGCCAAGACUGGGAGAGAUAGCUUGUGGUGUGUGGCCUUAAAAUGUCGGGGGGGUGGUGGUGUUUGUUUUGUUUUUGAGCUUUAGUUUUGUUUUCCUCAAAAAUGACAUUAAGAAAUGACAUAAGUCUUGUGAAUAAAUGCAAACCUCCAAGUUCCCACUUUCCUUUCCCCUGUACACUCUGCCCAUUCUCAUGGAAAGGGAUGUCCGCGAUUUUGUGCUAGGCAUUCAGGUGCUUGCAGAGGCACACAGUUCUGUGAACCCAACAAUCCCUCUGGCCAUCAUCCACUCCAUGAGAAACAUCCCUACUCCAUGUUAGAAUUCAGCAGAAUCUCACUCUGUCUUUUGUCUGCUGAAAAUGUCAUGAGUAGCCUUAAAGAACCACCUUAAACUUUUAAAAAUUA